AUGAGAAAGCCGCUAAUUCGGGAUUUUAUUGGGUUUAAAGGGUCCGUAGGCGGAUCCGUAAGUCAGUGGUGAAAUCUCAUAGCUUAACUAUGAAACUGCCAUUGAUACUGCGGGUCUUGAGUAAGGUAGAAGUAGCUGGAAUAAGUAGUGUAGCGGUGAAAUGCAUAGAUAUUACUUAGAACACCAAUUGCGAAGGCAGGUUACUAUGUCUUAACUGACGCUGAUGGACGAAAGCGUGGGGAGCGAACAGGAUUAGAUACCCUGGUAGUCCACGCCGUAAACGAUGCUAACUCGUUUUUGGUUUUUCGGAAUCAGAGACUAAGCGAAAGUGAUAAGUUAGCCACCUGGGGAGUACGAACGCAAGUUUGAAACUCAAAGGAAUUGACGGGGGCCCGCACAAGCGGUGGAUUAUGUGGUUUAAUUCGAUGAUACGCGAGGAACCUUACCAAGACUUAAAUGGGAAUUGACAGAUUUAGAAAUAGAUCCUCCUUCGG
rnacentral:rRNA from 1 species